GUGCAGUGGUGUGAUCUCGGCUCACUGUGACCUCUGCCUCCUGGGUUUAAGCGAUUCUCCUGCCUCAGCCUCCCGAGUAACUGGGACUACAGCUGCAGGAAACAGAAAAUGCACUGCCUAGAUGGACCCUCUGACUCCCCACCACCCAGGCUGGAGCGGCAGAGGCUGCCAGGAAGAGCCAGAAAACAGGUGAACCCAAGGCCACUCCCUCCCCAGCCUGAGGAACACUCUACUGGUAAGGGGAGAAAUGCCUCAAAUGAGCAUGUGCACAACUUCAGUAAACAUGCUGUGCAUGUGGCCCCUCCCAAGUGCCCGCAGGCCACCACACAAGUGGACAGCCCUGGACAGCCCGCCCCUAGGGAAGAAUCAAGGGAGGAGAAACAGAAGCCCUGGAACUGUGCUAGCAUAUAAAACCCCAAGUCAAGGGCUGAAUGGCACACUUGGAUCUCUCAAGUCACCUGCUUGGCCCCCUUCCAAGUGUAUUUACUUCCAUUUGUUCCUGCUCUAAAACUUUUUAAUAAACUUUCACUCCUGCUCUAAAA
rnacentral:lncRNA from 10 species